rnacentral:rRNA from 1 species
AGUGAACGCUGGCGGUAGGCCUAACACAUGCAAGUCGAACGGCAGCACAGUAAGAGCUUGCUCUUACGGGUGGCGAGUGGCGGACGAGUGAGGAAUACAUCGGAAUCUACUUUUUCGUGGGGGAUAACGUAGGGAAACUUACGCUAAUACCGCAUACGACCUACGGGUGAAAGCAGGGGAUCUUCGGACCUUGCGCGAUUGAAUGAGCCGAUGUCGGAUUAGCUAGUUGGCGGGGUAAAGGCCCACCAAGGCGACGAUCCGUAGCUGGUCUGAGAGGAUGAUCAGCCACACUGGAACUGAGACACGGUCCAGACUCCUACGGGAGGCAGCAGUGGGGAAUAUUGGACAAUGGGCGCAAGCCUGAGCCAGCCAUACCGCGUGGGUGAAGAAGGACUUCGGGUUGUAAAGCCCUUUUGAUGGGAAAGAAAAGCAGCAGGUUAAUACCCCGCUGUUCUGACGGUACCCAAAGAAUAAGCACCGGCUAACUUCGUG